UACGGAGGGUGCGAGCGUUAAUCGGAAUUACUGGGCGUAAAGCGCGCGUAGGCGGUUGAGCAAGUCGGAUGUGAAAGCCCUGGGCUUAACCUGGGAAUUGCAUUCGAGACUGCUUGGCUAGAGUUUGGUAGAGGAAAGCGGAAUUCCGGGUGUAGCGGUGAAAUGCGUAGAUAUCCGGAGGAACAUCAGUGGCGAAGGCGGCUUUCUGGACCAAAACUGACGCUGAGGUGCGAAAGCGUGGGGAGCAAACAGG
rnacentral:rRNA from 1 species